UACGUAGGGGGCAAGCGUUUGUCCGGAUUUAUUGGGCGUAAAGAGCUCGUAGGUGGUUUGGUAAGUCGGAUGUGAAAUCUCCAGGCUCAACCUGGAGGGGUCAUUCGAUACUGCCAUGACUAGAGGUCGGUAGGGGAGUGUGGAAUUCCUGGUGGAGCGGUGAAAUGCGUAGAUAUCCGGAGGAACACCUGUGGCGAAAGCGGCCACCUGGACUGCACCUGACGCUGAAACGCGAAAGCUAGGGGAGCAAACGGG
rnacentral:rRNA from 1 species